rnacentral:rRNA from 1 species
AAAUUGAAGAGUUUGAUCAUGGCUCAGAUUGAACGCUGGCGGCAGGCCUAACACAUGCAAGUCGAACGGUAACAGGAAGCAGCUUGCUGCUUCGCUGACGAGUGGCGGACGGGUGAGUAAUGUCUGGGAAACUGCCUGAUGGAGGGGGAUAACUACUGGAAACGGUGGCUAAUACCGCAUAACGUCGCAAGACCAAAGAGGGGGACCUUCGGGCCUCUUGCCAUCAGAUGUGCCCAGAUGGGAUUAGCUUGUUGGUGAGGUAACGGCUCACCAAGGCGACGAUCCCUAGCUGGUCUGAGAGGAUGACCAGCCACACUGGAACUGAGACACGGUCCAGACUCCUACGGGAGGCAGCAGUGGGGAAUAUUGCACAAUGGGCGCAAGCCUGAUGCAGCCAUGCCGCGUGUAUGAAGAAGGCCUUCGGGUUGUAAAGUACUUUCAGCGGGGAGGAAGGUGUUGUGGUUAAUAACCGCAGCAAUUGACGUUACCCGCAGAAGAAGCACCGGCUAACUCCGUGCCAGCAGCCGCGGUAAUACGGAGGGUGCAAGCGUUAAUCGGAAUUACUGGGCGUAAAGCGCACGCAGGCGGUCUGUCAAGUCGGAUGUGAAAUCCCCGGGCUCAACCUGGGAACUGCAUUCGAAACUGGCAGGCUUGAGUCUUGUAGAGGGGGGUAGAAUUCCAGGUGUAGCGGUGAAAUGCGUAGAGAUCUGGAGGAAUACCGGUGGCGAAGGCGGCCCCCUGGACAAAGACUGACGCUCAGGUGCGAAAGCGUGGGGAGCAAACAGGAUUAGAUACCCUGGUAGUCCACGCCGUAAACGAUGUCUACUUGGAGGUUGUGCCCUUGAGGCGUGGCUUCCGGAGCUAACGCGUUAAGUAGACCGCCUGGGGAGUACGGCCGCAAGGUUAAAACUCAAAUGAAUUGACGGGGGCCCGCACAAGCGGUGGAGCAUGUGGUUUAAUUCGAUGCAACGCGAAGAACCUUACCUGGUCUUGACAUCCACAGAACUUUCCAGAGAUGGAUUGGUGCCUUCGGGAACUGUGAGACAGGUGCUGCAUGGCUGUCGUCAGCUCGUGUUGUGAAAUGUUGGGUUAAGUCCCGCAACGAGCGCAACCCUUAUCCUUUGUUGCCAGCGAUUAGGUCGGGAACUCAAAGGAGACUGCCAGUGAUAAACUGGAGGAAGGUGGGGAUGACGUCAAGUCAUCAUGGCCCUUACGACCAGGGCUACACACGUGCUACAAUGGCGCAUACAAAGAGAAGCGACCUCGCGAGAGCAAGCGGACCUCAUAAAGUGCGUCGUAGUCCGGAUUGGAGUCUGCAACUCGACUCCAUGAAGUCGGAAUCGCUAGUAAUCGUGGAUCAGAAUGCCACGGUGAAUACGUUCCCGGGCCUUGUACACACCGCCCGUCACACCAUGGGAGUGGGUUGCAAAAGAAGUAGGUAGCUUAACCUUCGGGAGGGCGCUUACCACUUUGUGAUUCAUGACUGGGGUGAAGUCGUAACAAGGUAACCGUAGGGGAACCUGCGGUUGGAUCACCUCCUUACCUUAAAG